rnacentral:rRNA from 1 species
AACCUCCGCAAUGUGAGAAAUCGCGACGGGGGGAUCCCAAGUGCCAUUCUUAACGGGAUGGCUUUUCAUUAGUGUAAAGAGCUUUUGGAAUAAGAGCUGGGCAAGACCGGUGCCAGCCGCCGCGGUAACACCGGCAGCUCUAGUGGUAGCAAUUUUUAUUGGGCCUAAAGCGUCCGUAGCCGGUUUAAUAAGCCUCUGGUGAAAUCCUGCAGCUUAACUGUGGGAAUUGCUGGAGAUACUAUUAGACUUGAGAUCGGGAGAGGUUAGAGGUACUCCCAGGGUAGAGGUGAAAUUCUGUAAUCCUGGGAGGACCGCCUGUUGCGAAGGCGUCUAACUGGAACGAUUCUGACGGUGAGGGACGAAAGUUAGGGGCGCGAACCGGAUUAGAUACCCGGGUAGUCCUAACUGUAACGAUGCGGACUUGGUGUUGGGGUGGCUUUGAGCUGCUCAGUGCCGAAGGGAAGCUGUUAAGUCCGCCGCCUGGGAAGUACGGUCGCAAGACUGAAACUUAAAGGAAUU